GUUGCAAAUUAUAUUUUAUUCAGGGAGUUAACUGAGUACUACAGCCUGGGAAACAGGCUCUCAGAUAGCCCCGAGAUACUGUUCCAAAGAGGUAAGGGAGGAUCCAGAAUAUACAGAAGUUUCUGUUGAAAACAAAUAAACGUCUAUUUGAACAUCAAAAGAGUACAGCUCAUCACAAAAAAAGACAUCUUGAGUUAAUGAUUUUAGUGCUUUUCUAUGUAUGAAACGAUGCAAAAAGUCUGAGCCCAUUGAAAUUAUUCCUUAGAUAUGCAUCUUAACUGUCUAGGGUGAGUAUCCUGUUUUUCUCCAUCCUGAGUUCCUCUGAGGGUGCACCAUCUCGGGGGCGGCGGGGUUGGGCAGCUGCAAUGGUUGAUGGCUUGAUGAUGGGCAACUUUUCUUGUUUACUGAAAUGGCAAGCAACACUUCUUUUGUCCAUGCUUUCGUAGAUUUUCCAGAGAUCUAAGAUCAACUGGCAGGUGUUAAGGCUAUAGACAAUUAAAAGUCCUGGGAUGUCUUCUCACAAAACCAUUUUUUAUCACAAGCUUCCAUACUCCCAUGUUUUGCAUUUGAAUUUUUUAAUGGAUGAUUUUACAUUUAUCCCUAUUAAGUUUAUUCUUAUUCAUGUCAGCCUAUUCUUUUAGUUUAUUAAGACCUUUUGCCUCUCUUGGUUUCAUUUGACAUUUAAUGAAUUAGGCUUCUCUCUCAGCUUUGUCACACCUGCAGUUUUGAUAAACAUGUCUUUUGUGUCUUCAUCCAUCAUUAACUGAAAUUUUGAACUGGAUAAACUAUAGAUAGCACUUGGGAGUCUGUCACUGUGACUUCCCUUCGGGUAGGCAGUGAUUCAUUAAGCUGCUGACAUUCUUUGAAUGAAGUUGUUCAAUUAGCUACAAAUCUACUCAACUGUACUGUCAUUCACAUCAUUCCUGUCCACAGGAUGUUAAAUUCUUUGCUGAAAUUAAGAUAUAUUUUUGUCUGUGAUAUUCCCGUGAUCUCCAUGACCUGUAAGUGUGUCAAAAAGGGAAAUGUGACUGGUUUGGUGAAAGACUGAUUUGAGGAACUUAUACUGGUUCCCAGCCAUCAGUUCUCACAAGUUUUAAAAUAGUUUGUUCGAGAAUUUUGCUAGAGGUUUGACAUCAAACUCACAGGGCUGUAGUUCUUGGAAGCUACAUCCCUCAUUCUCUAACAUCUUUCUGAAAAUUGGAACAAUUGUCUUGACUAAAGUAUGCUUGAAAAUUAAGUUUACAUUGGAUUGAAAAUGAGAAAUAAUAGGCUUUUAAGUAAGCUGAGCCACAGUAAUAAAAGGUGAUGAUGAAUAAUGAUGCAUAAAGUUAAAGGAUAAAUCUGUGUGAUGCCAGGGGCCUGGAUAAAGACAUAAUCUAUCCCUCAAAUACGUUAUGUCCACCAGUUUAAGCCAUUUGUUCCCCCAAAGCAACGGAAUUUAUUACAUUUUGUUCUCUGUUGACUCUUAAUGUUCUUUAAGGUUCUGGAAGCUAUUAUCUUUGAGAUAUCCACAGUUUAUUUUGUCUUAAAGUCUAGAACAGCUAAAUGCUUUUCCUCUAAGAAUCAUAAACAUUUUCUCUUCUAUUAGGAAAAGCAGAUGUCAGGAUGCUUCCUCUGCUCAACCCUUAGGGCUUAUCAAGUAGGACAAAGCUUGGCUUUCAAAGAUCCCAAGCCAAUGGCUCCCAAGCUGGAAUCACCUGGAAGUUUUAAAACCCUGGUCUCCAGAUCACAUUCUCAGAAAUUUGGAUUACUGGCUUGGGUGUGGAUGGGCGUCAGUGUUUUUUAAAGGUCUACAGGGGAUUCUAAUAUAUAGCCAAUAAUUCUGAAAGUGGAGUUCAGACCAGCAGCAUCAGCAUCACCUGGAACUUGUUAAAAUGCAAAUUUUCACUGCACGUCCCCCAAUCCUGCUGCCUCCAAUCUGCUCCAAUCCACAGAAUCAGAAACUGCAAAGGAGGAGCUCAGGAAACUGUUUUAACAAGCCCUCCAGGUGAGUUGGAUAUAUACCAAGGUUUGAGAACUUAGGUUGAAAGCCUGUUCUAGGCUUUCCUUUCUCCUGGUUUAAAAAAGAUUGCCCUGUCAAGUGCUAUCGACCCUGAAAACGUCUGGUCUGAGGCCAAUUACAGCUCUCUAAAGCUGCAGGAGCUGGCAGGCGAAGCCCCCUGAGGCCUCCAGGAAAAAUAAGACGGAAUCCAGGUGAUAAGGUAUAACACCAAGUUUCACUUGCUCACAGGAUACUGCGCGCAGAGGCCUCGCACAAAACCCUUCAGACCAUAGUUCCUGGCAUCAAACAGCACCACUCGACACCUCAGCUUGGGGACCGUGUGCAGAAGCUUCUCACAAGAUGUUGUGAUUCAAGAUGGCAGGGGUUUGGAGAUACUGCUUUCAGCCUGUCCGUUUUGCGAGAACUCUACCCUCCUUCCCCAGAAGGGGAACUCUAAGAAGCAGCACCAACCACAACCUGUCCUGGAGGGGAGAGUGUGUGUGCUCUUGAGUAUGGUGUUUACCUUGCUUGCUGCUGCUGCUAAGUCACUUGAGUCGUGUCCGACUCUUUGUGACCCCAUAGACGGCAGCCCACCAGGCUCCCCCGUC
ensembl:lncRNA